rnacentral:rRNA from 1 species
CUAUAGCUGGUUUUAGAGGAUGAUCAGCAACACUGAGACUGAGACACGGCCCAGACUCCUACGGGAGGCAGCAGUGGGGAAUCUUGGACAAUGGGCGCAAGCCUGAUCCAGCCAUGCCGCGUGAGUGAUGAAGGCCCUAGGGUCGUAAAGCUCUUUCGCCAGAGAUGAUAAUGACAGUAUCUGGUAAAGAAACCCCGGCUAACUCCGUGCCAGCAGCCGCGGUAAUACGGAGGGGGUUAGCGUUGUUCGGAAUUACUGGGCGUAAAGCGCACGUAGGCCGAUCAGAAAGUAUGAGGUGAAAUCCCGGGGCUCAACCCCGGAACUGCCUUGUAAACUCCUGGUCUUGAGUUCGAGAGAGGUGAGUGGAAUUCCGAGUGUAGAGGUGAAAAUUCGUAGAUUUCCGGAGGAACACCAGUGGCGGAAGGCGGGUCAUUGGCUCGAUACUGACGCUGAAGUGCCGAAAGUGUGGGGCAGCAAACAGGAUUAAAUACCCUGGGUAGUCCACACCCGUAAACGGAUGAAUGGCCAGACGUCAGCAAGCAUGGUUUGUUGGGGGUCAAAACCUAAAGGUAUUAAGGCAUUCCGGCCGGGGGGAGUACCGGCCCCCAAGAAUAAAAACUCCAAAGGGAAUUUGACGGGGGCCCGCCCCAAGCGGUGGAACCCCGGGGGUUUUAAUUUCGAAAGAAUCGGGGAAAAACCUUAACCAACCCUUUUGAAAUCCCUCGGAACCGCCCAAAAAAAAAUUUGGUUUU